GAUCAUUUACACCUUUGUAGCUGAUUGAAAUAAAUCUGGAUUCUUACUCUAAGUAAAAUGAGAAGUCAUUGGAGGAUUUCAAAUACUGGAGUAACGUAAUUUGGCUUGUGUUUUAGAAAGAUUGCUGUGGCUACAGUGUCUCUACACUGUAGGAGAACAAAACCAGGAGGAAAACCAAUAAGGAGACUCUGACAGAAAACCAAGGGAGAGAGCCUAGCACUAAGUGUCCACUGAGUGACACAGGAUACACUUAUAUUGACAGAGUACCGUGGGCAGUGGCAGCAGGAACACAUGUAGAAAAUCUCUUGUUUUUCUGGCCCUGGGAACAACAAAAGUGAAGCUGGUAAUCCAUGAAUGCCGAAGAGUGUGGAGAACUCCAGAAGGUAAAGAGCUAGAGAAAGUAUCGGUCUCCUUACGCCUCUGACUUUCCCCCGAAUGUUACACAGGCAUACUUCAUUUUAUCUUGCUGUACUUUAUUAGGCUUCACAGACAUUGCAUUUUUUUUUUUUUAAUUUUUACAAUUGAAGGUUUGUGGCAACCCUGUGCGAGCAAGUUUAUUAGCACCAUUCUUUUUUUUUUUUAAACAGAAUAUGCUCACUUCCUGUCUGUGUGUCACAUUUAGGUAACUCUAGCGAUGUUUCACAUUUUUAAAAUUUUAUCUGUUAUGGUGAUCUGUGAUCAGUGAUCUUUGAUGUCACUAUUGUAAUAGUUUUGAGGUUCAACAAACUACACCCAAAUUAGAUGGUAAACAUUGUGUGUUUUCUGACUGCUCCACUGACUGGCCAUCCCCCCAUGUCUGUUCAUCUCCUCUGGCCUCCCUCUUCACUGAGAGACAACAAUACUGAAAUUAAGCCAAAUAAUAACCAUAUAAUGGACUUUAAAUGUUCAAGUUAAAGGACGAGUCAUACAUCUCCUACUUUAAAUCAGCAGCUACAAAUGACUAAGCUUAGUGAGGAAGGCAUAUUGAAAGCCAAGAUAGGCCAAAAAGCUAGGCCACCUGUGCCAAACAGUUACAUUGUGAAUGCAAAGGAAAUGCUCUUGAAGGAAAUGGAAAGUGCUAUUUCAGUGAACACAUGAAUGACAAGAAAGUGAAACAGUUUUACUGCUGAUAUGGAGGAUGUUUUAAUAGUCUGGAUAAAAGAUCAAACCAUUCCCUUAAGCCCAAAUCUAAUCCAGAGAAAGGCCCUAACUCUCUUUAAUUCUGUGAAGGCUGAGGGAGGUGAGGAAGCUGCAGAAGAAAAGACUGAAGUUAGCAGAGGUUGAUUCAUGAGGUUUAAGGAAAGAAGUCUUCUUCAUAAUAUAAAAGUGCAAGGUGAAGCAACAGCGCUGAUAUAGAAGCUGCAGCAAUUUA
rnacentral:lncRNA from 1 species